rnacentral:lncRNA from 1 species
UUCCUUCGUACCACACAAAGAGAUCUACCUCUCUGAUCUCAAAUACUCUGGCUCCUGUGUAGAAAGUGGCCCCUCUCUUUCCCUCACUGCAGCGGAGGCUCUGUUCUCUCGUCUCUCAGGCUCUCUAGGCUGUGUGGCCUUAGGGCUGUACUGGUGAAGAAUGAAGGGCAGUUCAAAUCACAGCUGCAAGAAUUCAGACACACAAGCAAAUUACAUGCAGAUGAGGUUUCAGUAGUCUGCACACUUAUUGAGUAUUGGCUGGCAGAGAUUCUGCCCAUGCAGAGACAGCAGAGGACAUAACGUCCCCAGAUUCAGCACCUGAGAGGAAAAUGACUGAAUAACCAGCAGGUCCCUGAUUGUAAUAUCUCAUUAUGAAAGAGAUCUUCAGUCAUGCUGUUUUAUAGUCAAGGAUGUCAAGAAACUCGGGAUCAAUCAGCUUCAGCAACAAUUCGGAUU